GUUUAGGAUUUAGGAUUUGGUUAGAGUUUGAAUUAGGAUUAGGAUUUGAUUAGGAUUUGGUUUAGGAUUUAGGUUUUAGGAUUUAGGAUUUGGUUUAGAAUUGGUUAGGAAUUGAUUUAGGGUUAGGAUUUAGUUAGGAUUAGAUUUAGGAUUAGAUUUUGGUUAGGAUUUGAUUUAGAAUUUAGAGUUAGGAUUAGGAUUUGAUUAGGAUUUGAUUUAGGGUUAGAUUUUGAUUAAGAUUUGGUUAAGGUUUGAUUUAAGAUUAGGAUUUGAUUAAAGAUUUAAGAUUUAGUUAGAAUUUGAUUUAGGAUUAGGAUUUGGUUUAGGAUUUAGGAUUUGGUCAGGAUUUGAUUUAGAGUUUAGGAUUUGAUUAGGAUUUGAUUUAGGGUUUAAGAUUUGAUUAGGAUUUGAUUAGGAUUUGAUUUAGGACUUAAGGUUUUAUUUGAGUUUGUUUAGGAUUUAAGAUUUAGUUAGUUUUUAGCCUAAAAUUUGAAUGAAGUCCAAUAAGAUUUCAACUAAGAUUAAAUUAAGAUUGAAUUGAGAUGUAUUUGAGAUAUGUUUGUAAUCAUUCUAAUAUUUCUUUAAGAUUUCUUAUUAUUUCUUUGGAAUUUCUUUGAGGUUUCUCUAAAUUUGAUUAAAGCUUGUUUAACAUUAUUAGUAUGCUAUUGAAAUUAGGAUUUUGUUGUUGUAAUUUCUAUUCUACCUUCUACACCAUGAUGACCAGAGCAUUCUCAAGUAAGACUUCACGUAUUAUGACAAUGCAUCAAUA
rnacentral:lncRNA from 1 species